rnacentral:rRNA from 1 species
UGGGGAAUCAUUGGGCAAUGGGAGGAAUCCUGACCCAGCGACGCCGCGUGAACGAAGACGGCCUUCGGGUUGUAAAGUUCUUUUAUGUGGGAAGAAUUAAGUGACGGUACCACAUGAAUAAGCCCCGGCUAACUACGUGCCAGCAGCCGCGGUAAUACGUAGGGGGCGAGCGUUGUCCGGAAUUACUGGGCGUAAAGGGCACGCAGGCUGUGCUUCAAGUCAGCUGUAAAAGGAUGCGGCUUAACCGUGUUAUGCAGUUGAGACUGAGGUGCUGGAGUACCGGAGAGGCAAGUGGAAUUCCCAGUGUAGCGGUGAAAUGCGUAGAUAUUGGGAAGAACAUCGGUGGCGAAGGCGACUUGCUGGACGGUAACUGACGCUGAGGUGCGAAAGCCAGGGUAGCGAACGGGAUUAGAUACCCCGGUAGUCCUGGCCGUAAACGAUGAAUGCUAGGUGUGCGAGCAGAGAUGUUGGUGUGCCGCAGUUAACGCGAUAAGCAUUCCGCCUGGGGAGUACGGUCGCAAGAUUG